GGGUGAGUAACGCGUAGGUAACCUGCCUGGUAGCGGGGGAUAAUUAUUGGAAACGAUAGCUAAUACCGCAUAAGAACAUUUACUGCAUGGUAGAUGUUUAAAAGGUGCAAAUGCAUCACUACCAGAUGGACCUGCGUUGUAUUAGCUAGUAGGUGAGGUAACGGCUCACCUAGGCGACGAUACAUAGCCGACUUGAGAGGGUGAUCGGCCACACUGGGACUGAGACACGGCCCAGACUCCUACGGGAGGCAGCAGUAGGGAAUCUUCGGCAAUGGGGGGAACCCUGACCGAGCAACGCCGCGUGAGUGAAGAAGGUUUUCGGAUCGUAAAGCUCUGUUGUUAAGGAAGAACGAGUGUGAGAAUGGAAAGUUCAUACUGUGACGUACUAACCA
rnacentral:rRNA from 1 species